rnacentral:rRNA from 1 species
UGGGGAAUAUUGGACAAUGGGGGCAACCCUGAUCCAGCCAUGCCGCGUGAGUGAAGAAGGCCUUAGGGUUGUAAAGCUCUUUCGCCCACGACGAUAAUGACGGUAGUGGGAGAAGAAGCCUCGGCUAACUCCGUGCCAGCAGCCGCGGUAAUACGGAGGAGGCUAGCGUUGUUCGGAAUUACUGGGCGUAAAGCGCACGUAGGCGGUUGCGUAAGUUGGGGGUGAAAUCCCGGGGCUUAACCUCGGAAUUGCCUCCAAGACUGCGCGGCUUGAGAGUGGAAGAGGAGAGUGGAAUUCCCAGUGUAGAGGUGAAAUUCGUAGAUAUUGGGAAGAACACCAGUGGCGAAGGCGACUCUCUGGUCCAUUUCUGACGCUGAGGUGCGAAAGCGUGGGGAGCAAACAGGAUUAGAUACCCCCGUAGUCCCUGAGCGGGCUGGCAAGGCGCAU